CCACCGGGCCACUUCCCAUCUUCCGCGCCUUUCUUUGAUAUAAAGGUUAUAAUUGGUCAGGCUCAAACCAAGAGGGCAAACUUUGAAUCUCAGACUGUGUUGGUCAGCUAAUGAAUUUUAAUUAAUGGUUUUUGAGGAGAACUAGCAAAUUAGUUGACUUUGGUUAGGUCCAAGCAUUAGUAUUUUGUAAGGAUAGAUGAGAUAUUAUAUAUGAAUUGAGUUUAUAAAGCCCUAUAUGCCUAACAUUAUUGAUAAGAGAUGAAAUUUUAUGUACUAUUUAUUCUUGAUAGCAAUGAUUUAACAAUUUAAA